rnacentral:rRNA from 1 species
UACGGGGGGGGCAAGCGUUGUUCGGAAUUACUGGGCGUAAAGGGCUCGUAGGUGGCCAACUAAGUCAGACGUGAAAUCCCUCAGCUUAACUGGGGAACUGCGUCUGAUACUGGAUGGCUUGAGUUUGGGAGAGGGAUGCGGAAUUCCAGGUGUAGCGGUGAAAUGCGUAGAUAUCGGGAGGAACACCGAUGGCGAAGGCAGCUCGCUGGGACGGUACUGACGCUGAGGCGCGAAAGCGUGGGGAGCAAACAGG